rnacentral:rRNA from 1 species
AGAGUUUGAUCAUGGCUCAGGAUGAACGCUGGCGGCGUGCCUAACACAUGCAAGUCGGGCGAUCUUCUUCGGAAGAGAGCGGCGGACGGGUGAGUAACGCGUGGGUAACCUGCCUCAUACACAUGGAUAACAUACCGAAAGGUAUGCUAAUACAAGAUGAUAUAAGAGAUUCGCAUGGAUUUCUUAUCAAAGCUCCGGCGGUAUGAGAUGGACCCGCGUCUGAUUAGCUAGUUGGUAAGGUAACGGCUUACCAAGGCGACGAUCAGUAGCCGACCUGAGAGGGUGAUCGGCCACAUUGGAACUGAGACACGGUCCAAACUCCUACGGGAGGCAGCAGUGGGGAAUAUUGCACAAUGGGCGAAAGCCUGAUGCAGCAACGCCGCGUGAGCGAUGAAGGCCUUCGGGUCGUAAAGCUCUGUCCUCAAGGAAGAUAAUGACGGUACUUGAGGAGGAAGCCCCGGCUAACUACGUGCCAGCAGCCGCGGUAAUACGUAGGGGGCUAGCGUUAUCCGGAUUUACUGGGCGUAAAGGGUGCGUAGGUGGUUUCUUAAGUCAGGAGUGAAAGGCUACGGCUCAACCGUAGUAAGCUCUUGAAACUGGGAAACUUGAGUGCAGGAGAGGAAAGUGGAAUUCCUAGCGUAGCGGUGAAAUGCGUAGAUAUUAGGAGGAACACCAGUAGCGAAGGCGGCUUUCUGGACUGUAACUGACACUGAGGCACGAAAGCGUGGGGAGCAAACAGGAUUAGAUACCCUGGUAGUCCACGCCGUAAACGAUGAGUACUAGGUGUCGGGGGUUACCCCCCUCGGUGCCGCAGCUAACGCAUUAAGUACUCCGCCUGGGGAG